CUCCACUCUGAGGAAGGGACCAGUGUCAGCAUGCUGGAUUUUGUGUUACUGAUCUGAUACCAAUACUGAUCUAUUGUAACUUUUACUGCAUGCUGGACAGAAAAUUCGAGUUCUUUAAACCAUGUCUAUCAGUGGACAUGCUCACAAAAUGAGAUCAGAAGCUUAGAUACGGUAUGUGCUCACUUCCUGGGUUGGUUCCAAUUGCUGUAAGAGGCACUUUCCUCCCCUUCUCCAUCUUCCCGCUCUGGGAGGUUCGGAAUAUCUCUGACAGAUUUGAUUGACAUGAUUGUCAGACGUUAAUUACACCUCAAAGAACAAAAAAAAAUAUGAUAAAACUGAUACAUUUUGUUAGCUAACAUGACUAAAGGGAAUCCUGUGGAACUUUUGGCCUUUAGUAGAGCGAUGCAGCGUUUUUUUUCACAAGCGGGUCCUUGUUUUCUUUGUUUCAUGCUAUACUUCUGUUUGUCACCUGUAGGUGGUAACAUACAAACAAGUCCUAGCAGUGCUGCUGCAUAGAUAGGGAAUAAGAAUAAGAGUGCUAGCUAGCAAACGUGAAUGAUAAUGUUGCAUGAUUUAAAAAAAUGGCUUUGCAGUUCUUUCAGUGGAUGCAAAUACAAGUUUGUUAGACAUCACUGAUAUACAUAUGCAUAUUUGUUUUGAUGACAUACACUGAAUGUAAACAUACAUAAUUGGUUUGUUUAAAAUGAAUCUCAAAAGGCAACUUUGAAAUGUACUUGUCAGUCAGUUUAAUUGGAUGACAAGAGUUGCUGUGGUGGAGUGCGAAGACGUACUUUGGAGCUGGAACUGAGACCGGAGCUGUUUCAGAGAAGACAUCUUCUUUAGCCUGCUCUAAGCUGGCUUUGUACUCCUCCAGAUACUCAGCUGGAACAUACCUCUUAACCGAAUGCAAUGAAGCCCGACAGCAGAUGGAGGGAACAAGAGGAAGGAAACCGAGGCGGCAGCUUCUUGCCGAAACACCGCCGGUGUGGAAGUCUGGUCCGAUGAGUGAGUGUCUUCUGAGCAUGGCUCGAGCCUGAGCGUUGGUCAGGUUUGCUGUGGGCUCCCCGUUGAUGGCCAGGAUGAGAUCACCAACACCCAGACGUCCAUCGCGGCUGAUGGACCCACCGUGGAUGAUACUGCGGAUCAGCAUCCCCAAACCAUCUUUGACGGCACUCACUGUCAUCCCUUUUGAGAUGAGUGGAGGUAAUCCAGGUCUGCGCUGCAGCUGCUGCCAUGAAGAGCAAUCAUGGAUGCCUGGAAAGUGUCAUCUUCUAUCCCAGACUGCCACGUACCUCAAGCAGCUCAUCUCCACUGAACAGCUUGCCACAGCGACCUACAGGUCCCUCAGGUAGAACAGAACGAAUGUAAUGAUGCCCACUGUUGGCUUCCAGACUGAUGCCAAGGCCACUGUUCUCACUAAACUUCUCCACCUCAGCCACCUGUCAUGGAAACAAGAUAUCACCUCUAAGUUGUAUCUGUGCAGGUGUGCUUCAAGAAGAAUCCCAGCCUCCUACCAUGUUUGUCUUCUGUUAGCUGAUCCGUGGCUGGGCCGACAUCAGAUCCUUCGCUCUUUGUCUGGAGCAGCUUUUCAUCUGCGGUGAACGUAAACACACGAUGAGAGACAGAGUGAGGAGGACAGAGGCAGGCAGCCGCACACACACACGACAUUAUCGGUACCAAGCCACUGGAAAGAGUCAUCUAUUUCCACUGACAGCACACAUACAUGCAAAAACACCACAAAUGAACAACCAUGAUGAAUUUAUUUGGCAU